CCCUAUCGGGGGGGCGCUUCCAACGCGACCCCAGGUCAGGCGGGAUUACCCGCUGAAUUUAAGCAUAUCAAUAA
rnacentral:rRNA from 1 species